UACGUAGGGUGCAAGCGUUAAUUGGAAUUACUGGGCGUAAAGCGUGCGCAGGCGGUUUUGUAAGUUUGUCGUGAAAUCCCCGGGCUCAACCUGGGAACUGGCGAUGAAGACUGCAAGGCUAGAAUCUGGCAGAGGGGGGUAGAAUUCCACGUGUAGCAGUGAAAUGCGUAGAGAUGUGGAGGAACACCGAUGGCGAAGGCAGCCCCCUGG
rnacentral:rRNA from 1 species